CCUACGGGCGGCAGCAGUGGGGAAUAUUGCACAAUGGGCGCAAGCCUGAUGCAGCCAUGCCGCGUGUGUGAAGAAGGCCUUCGGGUUGUAAAGCACUUUCAGCGGGGAGGAAGGCGGUGAGGUUAAUAACCUCAUCGAUUGACGUUACCCGCAGAAGAAGCACCGGCUAACUCCGUGCCAGCAGCCGCGGUAAUACGGAGGGUGCAAGCGUUAAUCGGAAUUACUGGGCGUAAAGCGCACGCAGGCGGUCUGUCAAGUCGGAUGUGAAAUCCCCGGGCUCAACCUGGGAACUGCAUUCGAAACUGGCAGGCUAGAGUCUUGUAGAGGGGGGUAGAAUUCCAGGUGUAGCGGUGAAAUGCGUAGAGAUCUGGAGGAAUACCGGUGGCGAAGGCGGCCCCCUGACAAAGACUGACGCUCAGGUGCGAAAGCGUGGGGAGCAAACAGGAUUAGAUACCCGGGUAGUC
rnacentral:rRNA from 1 species